GGUUCAGUGGUGUAGUUGGUUAUCACAUCUGUCUCACAUUAGGUGCUCACAGGAGGUCCCCGGUUCGAGCCCGGACUGAACCA